rnacentral:tmRNA from 1 species
CAUGGUUCCGCCGUUAUCGGGCCGUUCAGAAUAGUUGCCAAUGACAACUAUGCUGAGGCUGCUCUCGCUGCGUAAUGCGGCGCGAUUAGCCUGAACUUGAAGUCCUUAUCCUUAGCCGGAUAAGGCGCGGUUCGGAGGGCACCGGGCAACAGAAGCCCUCCACU